rnacentral:pre_miRNA from 1 species
AGUGGAAUAGCUGUGUCAAAUGGUUCCAUUCCAAGUUUUGUAAGGAAUCUCCAUACUGCUUUCCAAAGUGGUUGCACCAAUUUGCAGUCUCACCAGCAAU